UACGAGGGGGGCGAGCGUUGUCCGGAAUUAUUGGGCGUAAAGAGCUCGUAGGCGGUUUGUCGCGUCUGCUGUGAAAACCUAAGGCUCAACCUUGGGCUUGCAGUGGGUACGGGCAGACUAGAGUGCGGUAGGGGUGACUGGAAUUCCUGGUGUAGCGGUGGAAUGCGCAGAUAUCAGGAGGAACACCGAUGGCGAAGGCAGGUCACUGGGCCGCAACUGACGCUGGAGGAG
rnacentral:rRNA from 1 species